GUAUACGGCCAUACCACCCUGAAUGCGCCCGACCUCGUUUGAUCUCGGAAGCUAAGCAGGGUCCGGCCUGGUUAGUACUUGGAAGGACAUCUAUUUCUGCUUUAUUGCCUAUGCCAAAGUGUUUGUGUGUG
rnacentral:rRNA from 1 species